UGUCAGUGAUGCUCUGGGGGAAGCAGUGACUUGGUGGCCUUUUGCUCACCUUGUGUGAAAAGCAGUUUUGAAGCAAUGUUCUUUCUUCUCUCAGCAGCCUCAUCGCUGAUGACUAACAGUUCCUGAUGGGUGAAGCAUAAAGUGGAGUGCCCUUUUUUUUUUUUUUCAAGAAUUUUUUUUUGCUGGCAAGGCAUGACGUUGAAUUUUUCACUUCUGGAAACCUGCUUCCUAGCACCUUUGUAGCACCCUUGUCAGAAUUUGCAAUGUGACUCAUAUCGACCUCAACAGAAACCAAUGAGAUCUCAGCACUGGCGUUUCAGGGAGUGGGGAGUACGUAUUCCGAGCGAGCAGGGAGGAUGAACGAGGCUUUCUCAGACAAGUUUGUUUGCAGAGAGAAUGGGUGAUGUAACCUGGCUGUUUCUCCAAUGAGGUAUCUUAAUUACAGAGACCCACAGAAAAUGUGAACUUGAGUUAUGAAAGCAGUAGAGUUCAGCAUUUGAAAAGCUAUUACUGAAAUCGCUUUGGUCCCAGG
rnacentral:lncRNA from 1 species